rnacentral:rRNA from 1 species
GACGAACGCUGGCGGCGUGCUUAACACAUGCAAGUCGAACGGGAAGGCCUCUUUCGGGGGGUACACGAGUGGCGAACGGGUGAGUAACACCUGUGUAACCUGCCCUUGACUUUGGGAUAACUUCAGGAAACUGGGGAUAAUACCGGACAAGAGCUCCUGCUCCAUUGUGGGGGUUGGAAAGUUUCGGCCGCUGGGUGUUGACUCGCGCCUUCUCAGCUUGUUGGUGGGGUAGUGGCUUACCGAGGCUGUGCCGCGUAGCCGGCCUGGGAGGGUGACCGGCCACAUUGGGACUGAGAUACGGCCCAGACUCCUACGGGAGGGAGCAGGGGGGAAGAUUGCACAAGGGGUGGACGCCUGAUGCAGCAACGCCGUGUGCGGGAUGGUGGCCUUCGGGUUGUAAACCGCUUUCGCUCAUGACGGAGCUUUGUGUGACGGUAGUGGGUAAAGAAGCACCGGCUAACUACGUG